GAUGAACGCUGGCGGCGUGCCUAAUACAUGCAAGUCGAGCGAACAGACGAUGAGCUUGCUCCUCUGACGUUAGCCGCGGACGGGUGAGUCACACGUGUAUAACCUACCUAUCAUACUGGGAUAACUUCGGGAAACCGGCGCUAAUACCGUAUAAUAUAUUGAACCGCAUGGUUCAUUGGUGAAAGACGGUUUUGCUGUCUCUUCUAGCUGGAUACGCGCCUCAUUAGCUAGUUGGUACGGUAACGGCUUACCACGGCGACCAUGCGUAGCCGACCUGUCGGGGGGAUCGGCCACUCUGAAGCUGACACACGGCCCAGACUCCGACGGGAGGCAGAAGUAGGGACUCUUGCGAAAAGGGCGAAAGCCUGACGGAGGAACGCAGGGUGAGUGAUGAAGGUCCGCGGACCGUAAAACGCUGUUAUGAGGGAAGAACAAAUGUGUAAGUAACGAAGCACGUGUUGACGGUAUCUAAUCAGAAAGCCACGGCUAACUACGU
rnacentral:rRNA from 1 species